rnacentral:piRNA from 1 species
UAUUUCUCCCUCCCUCUGUUAGCUCC